GCGGAGGAAGCCGCGCAGCUCGCCGCGGCUCAGGUUGUGGCGGCGGCCGAAGUCGGCCAGGCGCUCCUCCCAGCGCUGCUUGGCCUGGCGCUCGUGCGCCAGCUCCAGCGCCGAGAACACGGCCGCGCCGCCCAGCAGUGAAAAUUGAAAAUCUUACGUGAAUCAUUAGAGGAAUUCUGACCCCAGCCAGCUGUGAGACCCGGAGGACAUCCUGAACCUUUCUGGGCCUGUUUCACUGUGAUUUGAAGGCAUCCAACUGGGUCACCUUUUGGGAUUUCUUCCGAG